AAAAAAAAAAGCCUAAAAACAUGACUACCAUGUUGGACUGUCAUAUUUAGAUAAGAUAUCAUCAUCUACCCAUGUAAAGUCAAAAACAUGCAAUGAUCGAAGACAUGCAGGCGGCCGUCUGUAUGCUAUGAUGAUCUAUGCCCCCCAUUUUGGGAAGGCUGGAAGCUCAAGUUAUUAAUCCAAUUUUGCUAAAAAUUUGUGUAGCUUCAACGUCUCUUCAGGCCCAACAACUUUCCUUCAAACGUGGAAACAUUUGGCCCAUAAACAACUCCUCAAAUCAAAUGCACCCAGUUAAAGAAUGGCUCCACUAAAGCCUAUAAAGCUUCUCUGCCAAAUGCAAUGGUUAAUUUAAUUGGUGGAGAAAAGUUUUAGAUUUUUGUUUGGAAAAAAUAAAGUUAAUAAUUGAUGAUUAAAUUUGUAAAAAUUCUGUGGUUGGUUGGUUGGUUGGCAGACAAAGUGAAUCGACGUAAACAUGUGCGCAAAUGCAAGGCGAAAACGAGCCCUGGGCACGUGGUGUGUCUACGACACUAGUGGAUGGUGGACCACACCGCUUCAGGAUGAAGAGCAGCUGGAUAUAAAAUAAAGGGACACGUGUUGCGCCGAUUGGAUCACAUCUUCCACGUGGAUGGUUGGAAAUUAACUCAGCCACGUAUCCUCCCAUCGGUUUUAUGGGCCUUUCACUUUCGGUUUUCAUUCUUACAAGUACGGGUGAGCGUAAAUUUUAGAAAUCGAAUCGAACGGAAAUGGGUGAAAAACCGAAUCGA
rnacentral:misc_RNA from 1 species